CCUACGGGAGGCAGCAGUGAGGAAUAUUGGUCAAUGGACGAGAGUCUGAACCAGCCAAGUCGCGUGAAGGAUGACUGCCCUAUGGGUUGUAAACUUCUUUUAUAAAGGAAUAAAACGAGGCACGUGUGCCUUUUUGCAUGUACUUUAUGAAUAAGGAUCGGCUAACUCAGUGCCAGCAGCCGCGGUAAUACGGAGGAUACGAGCGUUAUCCGGAUUUAUUGGGUUUAACGGGAGCGUAGAUGGGUUGUUAAGUCAGUUGUGAAAGUUUGGGGCUCAACCGUAAAAUUGCAAUUGAUACUGGAAGUCUUGAGUACAGUUGAGGUAGGCGGAAUUCGUGGUGUAGCGGUGAAAUGCUUAGAUAUCACGAAGAACCCCGAUUGCGAAGGCAGCUUACUAAACUGUGACUGACAUUGAUGCUCGAAAGUGUGGGUAUCAAACAGGAUUAGAUACCCGAGUAGUC
rnacentral:rRNA from 1 species